rnacentral:rRNA from 1 species
UACGUAGGGUGCGAGCGUUGUCCGGAAUUAUUGGGCGUAAAGGGCUCGUAGGCGGUUUGUCGCGUCGGGAGUGAAAACCUUGGGCUUAACUCAGGGCUUGCUUUCGGUACGGGCAGACUAGAGGUAUGCAGGGGAGAACGGAAUUCCUGGUGUAGCGGUGAAAUGCGCAGAUAUCAGGAGGAACACCGGUGGCGAAGGCGGUUCUCUGGGCAUGAUCUGACGCUGAGGAGCGAAAGUGUGGGGAGCGAACAGG